CUGUCCUGUGCAGCUCGGGAUUCCGAGCUCCAGCCUCGGACAGUGCUGCGAUCUCCUCUCCCUUCUAAUCCUAUCCGCGAUGGACGAUGCCCGCGAGUCGCCCACAGACUAAGGUGGAGAGACAGGGGAGUCGGAUGAGACCAUCGCUGCGCCCGGGGACCCGGGGGCUACCGACACGGAUGGAAUCCCAGAGGAAACUGACGGAAGACGCAGAUGCGGACUUACAAGAAGCUGCAGCAGAGGAAGGCGAGCUCAAGAGUCAGGAUGUCUCAGAUUUAACAGCAGUUGAAAGGGAAGACUCAUCAUUACUUACUCCUGCAGCCAAAAAACUGAAAAUAGAUACCAAAGAAAAGAAAGAGAAGAAGCAGAAGGUAGAUGAAGAUGAGAUUCAGAAGAUGGAAACCCUGGUUUCUUCUUUUUCUGAAGAGCAGCUGAACCAUUAUGAAAUGUAUCCUCGCUCAGCUUUCCCUAAGACAGCCAUCAAAAGACUGAUCCAGUCCAUCACGGGCACCUCUGUGUCUCAGAAUGUUGUUAUUGCUAUGUCUGGUAUUUCCAAGGUUUUCGUCGGGCAGGUGGUAGAAGAAGCACUGGAUGUGUGUGAGAAGUGGGGAGAAAUGCCACCACUGCAACCCAAACAUAUGAGGGAAGCCGUUAGAAGGUUAAAGUCAAAAGGACAGAUCCCUAACUUGAAGCACAAAAAAAUCAUCUUCUAGACCAAAGUCUAGAAAGGCCUAUUACUGACAGAAGAAGUAUUGGUUCCAGACUUCCUAUAAGACUGUCUGCUGGUGCUUUAGUAUCUCAGUUCUCCAAGGAUUCCAUGAUUUUAAUGUCUCUCAAAACUCUGAUUAUUCAUCACACUUAGAAAGUAUGUAGCAU